ACUCAAGAAAGUAUGUGUCUUACUGAAAGCACUCUGGCUGGAAAGCCCCAGAGUUCUAAGUAUGGCUCUUGAAAUCCCAGCAGUGCUUAUCAGGAAGGGAUUUCCCUUUAGUCACACACUCUGGCUAGCGACAUGCUCAGGUUCUCUACCUGUGGCCUGGGAUGGAGGGUAGAUAGAUUAUCAGGGAGCAGAUGGCUAGAGGUGGCUGGGCAUGGUGUGUAAGUCUCCAGACAGAUUCUGAAGCAUCUGACAAAGCACUUUUCUCCCUGCCAUCCCUUAUGAGGAUUAUGAUCUGAUCCUGUUUGAGGGAUGGGACCACUGAAGAUCAGAAGUGUCAAGGGAGCCCGAGGGGUCUGGGUCCUGGCUUUCAUCCGGGGCCCUUUCCAACCCUUGGAGCAGAUCAUCCCAACUCCAGCCUUGCACAAACUCUAAAGUGAUUUGCAAUAAAGAAUGUUAUGUUUUCCUGGCUGAAGAGUGAAUGAUUCACCAGCUUGGAUCUCGAUCAGCCACAAAAAGAGAAAAGGACCUUUGACAAAGCAGAAGAUCUCAUCUAGAGCCAACGGCAGGUGACCAAAGAAAGAGCAGAAACAAAGGCUUUGUGGCUCAACCACAUCUUUAUUUUCAGCCUGAUCAAGUGCCUUUCUGAUCAUGUAAAUUCAUUCAAUUGACUUUAUAGUAAAUUGGACAUGCCCAGAUCAGAAUCCGGCUCCUCUUCUAAGGAAGUCAGUCCUGAUUAAUCUGCUUCUACUGUAUUAGUUAAGGAGACGGACCUGUACGGAUUGCACCAAUGGGCUCUUUGGUCUUCUGCUUGAGUUGGGUUUGGUCAAGGAAGUCACUGGCAGAAAAACCGGAGAGUGUGGCCAAGCGUGAAAUGACUUUUUCCUGUGUGUGGAGUCUUCAAAUUUACCUCUGAAGCCCUGUGAACACAAGCCCUUGAAACCAG